GACGAACGCUGGCGGCGUGCUUAACACAUGCAAGUCGAGCGGUAAGGCCCUUUCGGGGUACGACGAGCGGCGAACGGGUAGAGUAACACGUGGGUGACCUGCCCUCAGCUCUGGGAUAAGCCUGGGAAACCGGGUCUAAUACUGGAUAUGACUCCAUGACGCAUGUUGUGGGGUGGAAAGCCUUGUGCGGCUGAGGAUGGGCCCGCGGCCUAUCAGCUUGUUGGU
rnacentral:rRNA from 1 species